rnacentral:rRNA from 1 species
AACGAACGCUGGCGGCAGGCCUAACACAUGCAAGUCGAGCGAGGACUUCGGUCCUAGCGGCGGACGGGUGAGUAACGCGUGGGAACGUGCCCUUUGCUACGGAAUAGCCCCGGGAAACUGGGAGUAAUACCGUAUGUGCCCGAGAGGGGAAAGAUUUAUCGGCAAAGGAUCGGCCCGCGUUGGAUUAGGUAGUUGGUGGGGUAAUGGCCUACCAAGCCGACGAUCCAUAGCUGGUUUGAGAGGAUGAUCAGCCACACUGGGACUGAGACACGGCCCAGACUCCUACGGGAGGCAACAGUGGGGAAUCUUAGACAAUGGGGGAAACCCUGAUCUAGCCAUGCCGCGUGAGCGAUGAAGGCCUUAGGGUUGUAAAGCUCUUUCGCUGGGGAAGAUAAUGACGGUACCCAGUAAAGAAGCCCCGGCUAACUCCGUGCCAGCCGCCGCUGUAAUAC